UGGAGUCACACAAAUGUAGACGAUGUGGGAUUAACAAUAUAGGCUUCUUGGACCCUAGCACCGUACAUGAGAACACAGUCAAUUUACCAAGUACCGUUGACUACUUGUACAAAGCUUUCCUCUCCAUGCAUGAUAAAAGAUCCAUACUUCUUUCAUACAAUUGCUUUUAUCAUCAUGUCCUACUCGAUAUCAGCCUUAGCGAUAGUCGAAUCGAGGUUUCUGACUCACGAAAGAGGCCAUUAUCACUAAUCCAGCCCGUCAUUGAUGUCCUCAACAAGGCCUUCGCUAAGUACCGUAAGAAAAGCAAAAUCCAUAGAUCUUUUUGGGGAGACUUCA